rnacentral:rRNA from 1 species
CGGCGCACGGGUGAGUAACGCGUAUGCAACCUACCUACUACUUUGGGAUAGCUCGUUGAAAGACGAAUUAAUACCUUAUAAAACAGGGGCUCCGCAUGGAGAUAUUUGUUAAAGAUUUAUUGGUAGUAGAUGGGCAUGCGUUCCAUUAGUUAGUUGGUGAGGUAACGGCUCACCAAGACAACGAUGGAUAGGGGAACUGAGAGGUUUAUCCCCCACACUGGAACUGAGACACGGUCCAGACUCCUACGGGAGGCAGCAGUGAGGAAUAUUGGUCAAUGGAGGCAACUCUGAACCAGCCAAGUCGCGUGAAGGAUGACUGCCCUACGGGUUGUAAACUUCUUUUUUAAGGGAAUAAAGUGAGCCACGUGUGGCUUUUUGCAUGUACCUUACGAAUAAGGAUCGGCUAACUCCGUGCCAGCAGCCGCGGUAAUACGGAGGAUCCGAGCGUUAUCCGGAUUUAUUGGGUUUAAA